AUUAUUAAUGGGUGGAGAAUUGUAGGUAGGCUGAUAACAGUCACCAAUGACUUAUGGGAUGUCACUUGAACUGAUUAUAGUCAUUCAUUCUGGUAUGGAAUAAAGAAACAUGAUAGAUUGGUUAAAUGUAGCUCUCACGGCCUGACAUCAUUAUUAAUUUGAGCCCGCAAUCAUUAUUCUAUUUCCUGUCAUUAUUAAAGUGGUGCAGUGCUAACAACUCUCAUUUUUUUGUGUAUCCAAGAAUUAGGUAACUAGAUGUUGACAUCAUUUAUGAUAAGUGGCCACAAUAUCUUCCAUUGAAAA